rfam:Deltaproteobacteria bacterium RIFCSPHIGHO2_02_FTLL_60_17 rifcsphigho2_02_scaffold_11565, whole genome shotgun sequence.
GCUGGCGUAGCUCAACGGCAGAGCAGCUGAUUUGUAAUCAGCAGGUUGUAGGUUCAAUUCCUAUCGCCAGCU